rnacentral:rRNA from 1 species
CCUACGGGAGGCAGCAGGGAGGAAUAUUGGUCAAUGGGCGCGAGCCUGAACCAGCCAAGUAGCGUGAAGGAUGACUGCCCUAGGGGUUGUAAACUUCUUUUAUAAAGGAAUAAAACGAGGCACGUGUGCCUGUAUGCAUGUACUUUAUGAAUAAGGAUCGGCUAACUACGUGCCAGCAGCCGCGGUAAUACGGAGGAUCCGAGCGUUAUCCGGAUUUAGUGGGUUUAAAGGGAGCGUAGACGGGUUGUUAAGUCAGUGGUGAAAGUUUGCGGCUCAACCGUAAAAUUGCAAUUGAUACUGGCCGUCUUGAGUACAGGUGAGGUAGGCGGAAUUCGUGGUGUAGCGGUGAAAUGCGUAGAUAUCACGAAGAACCCCGAUGGCGAAGGCAGCUUACUAAACUGUGACUGACAUUGAUGCUCGAAAGUGUGGGUAUCAAACAGGAUUAGAUACCCCAGUAGUC